rnacentral:sRNA from 1 species
CUGUUUCGAAUCGAGGCAACAGCCGAUACAGAUACUCACUGAGCGUCAAUAGCUCCAGCAGUAAGGAUCAGCUUUUCACCGGCGAUGACUGUAAAGCAAAUGCGAUUGAGCUCAACAAAGUCUACACGGGUACGCAAGGAAUGCAGCAUACCUUCUGUACAUGAGCCCACGAUCAUGCCCUCCGUGACGCCGUCCAUCGUGUCAGGGUUGCCGGCUUUGCCGAUGGCAGCGAUGUGACCCUCCUUGAUCCCGAUAUCGGCCUUCACGAUGCCCCAGUGAUCCACAAUGAGGGCAUUCAGGAUGACGCAGUCCAACGUUUCUGCGUCUUUGCGUCCCGAGGCUUGGCCCAUGCCAUCGCGCAG